AAUCAACGCUGGCGGCGUGCCUAACACAUGCAAGUCGAACGCGAAAACCCCGCAAGGGUUAGUAGAGUGGCAAACGGGUGAGUAACACGUGGGUGACCUGCCUUCGAGUGGGGGAGUAACGUCCCGAAAGGGAACGCUAAUACCGCAUAAUAUCCUGCCUUUUAAGAGGUGGACAUCAAAGCUGGGGAGUCGCAAGACCUAGCGCUUGAAGAGGGGCCCGCGCCUGAUUAGCUAGUUGGGGGGUAAUGGCUCACCAAGGCAACGAUCAGUAUCCGGCCUGAGAGGGCGGACGGACACACUGGGACUGAGACACGGCCCAGACUCCUACGGGAGGCAGCAGUGGGGAAUUGUUCGCAA
rnacentral:rRNA from 1 species